GAUCCUCCCACCCUUUGUGUACCUACCUCUGUUGCUUUGGCGGGCCGCGGUCCUCCGCGGCCGCCCCCCUCCCCGGGGGGUGGCCAGCGCCCGCCAGAGGACCAUCAAACUCCAGUCAGUAAACGAUGCAGUCUGAAAAACAUUUAAUAAACUAAAACUUUCAACAACGGAUCUCUUGGUUCUGGCAUCGAUGAAGAACGCAGCGAAAUGCGAUAAGUAAUGUGAAUUGCAGAAUUCAGUGAAUCAUCGAAUCUUUGAACGCACAUUGCGCCCUUUGGUAUUCCGAAGGGCAUGCCUGUUCGAGCGUCAUUACAACCCUCAAGCUCUGCUUGGUAUUGGGCACCGUCCUUUGCGGGCGCGCCUCAAAGACCUCGGCGGUGGCGUCUUGCCUCAAGCGUAGUAGAACAUACAUCUCGCUUCGGAGCGCAGGGCGUCGCCCGCCGGACGAACCUUCUGAACUUUUCUCAAGGUUGACCUCGGAUCAGGUAGGGAUACCCGCUGAACUUAA
rnacentral:rRNA from 1 species